CUCAAUAUUGACUAGUUGUGCUUCAUCUGGUGGUAUGGAAUUCGGCUUUGGUCGAGGAGGAUCUUCACUGUCGCUACGUACCCUUUUUGAUCAUUCACACUUUCACAAUUCCACAAAAGUGUAUCAUACCUUUCACGAAGUAAUUCAGCAUCAACUCUAUCAUUUGGUACUUGUAAUCCAUCACUCAAAUACUCGGCAUAAGUGGCAACAAGAACACCAUAAUCCCUAUAAUUGUAAAAAUCAGAUGAUACAUAUCUAAUUAAUAUAAGUGUUACAGAAUUUAUGAAAAUAAAUCAUGAUAAGCACUUACAAGGUACCACU
rnacentral:lncRNA from 1 species